UACGUAGGGGACGAGCGUUGUCCGGAAUCACUGGGCGUAAAGGGCGCGUAGGCGGUUUUAUAAGUCAGAUGUGAAAGGUACCGGCUCAACCGGUGACGUGCAUUUGAAACUGUAAGACUUGAGUACUGAAGAGGCAAGCGGAAUUCCUAGUGUAGCGGUGAAAUGCGUAGAUAUUAGGAAGAACACCGGUGGCGAAGGCGGCUUGCUGGGCAGAUACUGACGCUGAGGUGCGAAAGCGUGGGGAGCGAACAGG
rnacentral:rRNA from 1 species